rnacentral:rRNA from 1 species
UAAUUGAAGAGUUUGAUCAUGGCUCAGAUUGAACGCUGGCGGCAGGCCUAACACAUGCAAGUCGAGCGGCAGCACAGAGGAACUUGUUCCUUGGGUGGCGAGCGGCGGACGGGUGAGUAAUGCCUGGGAAAUUGCCCGGUAGAGGGGGAUAACCAUUGGAAACGAUGGCUAAUACCGCAUAACCUCGCAAGAGCAAAGCAGGGGACCUUCGGGCCUUGCGCUACCGGAUAUGCCCAGGUGGGAUUAGCUAGUUGGUGAGGUAAGGGCUCACCAAGGCGACGAUCCCUAGCUGGUCUGAGAGGAUGAUCAGCCACACUGGAACUGAGACACGGUCCAGACUCCUACGGGAGGCAGCAGUGGGGAAUAUUGCACAAUGGGCGCAAGCCUGAUGCAGCCAUGCCGCGUGUAUGAAGAAGGCCUUCGGGUUGUAAAGUACUUUCAGUAGGGAGGAAGGUGGUUAAGUUAAUACCUUAA